GGCAGGUUUCCUUGGGGCUGAGUACAAAUACACCCUGGCAAUGAGCAGUAGGUGGUGUUGCACCGACAUGUCAGAGAAAAGCCUGUUUGUGCCAAACGCAUCGGAGAAACUGUUUUGGAAUGGUUCAUUGGUGUGAAGACAGGGCCCCAAAAUAGUGUCGGGAGAAGAGGAACUGUAGCAACAUGCUGGGGAUGUGCCAGCUGUCUGCAUUAGACAGAAGGGUGGUAGAUUAGGAAGGAACAUGGGUGCAUUUAUUCCUCCACAUUUUUCCCCACAUCUCUAAAAAAAAUCCUGCAGGAGAGGACGCUGCUUCCCAGCCAUGGGUGCUGUCAUGACCACACCAAGACAAGCACCUGAACCCCGAUGCUCCUGGCCAGGCUCCCGCUCAGCCCGUACUGGCGGCAUGCCAAGCUGCGACUUGGCAAAGGAGAGACACCGAGCCUGCUUGCUGUUUGCUCAAAGUGCCCAGUGGACCACUGGAAGUUCUCCAAACCACACUGGCUUGGAAGAAAAUUCUGGGAGAAGCUGAGAAAAAGGGGCUUUUUUCCUUGGAUCGCCUCAAGAAGCACCAGCGGAUAUUUGACAACAUGGGGAUAGGAAAUGUUGCAGCGUAGGCAGCCAGCUUCUCCUGCUGCUGCCAUGAAAUGAAACAUAAACACAUUGAUCCUAUAAGAAAAGAGUUGAUCCUUGCUUGUGGUAUGCUAGUUAUGAGCAAUUCAGAUAGAUACUGCAUGGAGGUUGGGUCAUAGCUGACAAAACAUGCCGGGAGGCAUCUCCCUCCUUUUUAGAUGCAGAGGAUUACAUCUGAGUUCCUGGCUGUGUUGCCACACUGAGACCAUCCCCCAGUUGAUUUUGGGAAGUGGGACCAUAUGAAAAACCACGGUCAGAAACAUCUGGGAAGCAAGCCGGCCUGUCCAAAGUUUACAUUGUCAGCCCCAUCCAGAUAAAAUGAGAGCUGCCUCAAGUUGUUAACCCCAGGGGCACUUGGAAUCAGAGAUCUGUGUCAGAUCCAAAUAAAAUAAAAAAAAUCCCAAAAUGUAGCCUAAAAUGCAAAUUAAACCAGAAUAGGAACCAUUUGUUUAAAAGAGUAAUCAUAUAAACAAAGGGUGAAAAAAAAAAAAAAAAAAAAAGAAAAAGAAGAAAAAAAGAAGAAAAAAAAAAAGACAGAAAGAGCAAAUAAGAGGUUCCCCACCGUUUUCUGUCCCUGAAGGAUGGAGAUGGUGUUUAUUCUCCACACAGUGAGGCAGACAGGUCUCUGUGCUAGUAAGUCUCAUAAAUGCCACCCUUGGCUCUGCUGUCACAUCUCUUCCUGCUGCAUCCCCAACAAUGCCUUUUCCAGGAGGCUGAGUGAGCAAGAAAGAAGUCCUAAUGUUUGAACCGUGGUUCAGGGCUCAGCGUGGGGAAUGAGAUAGCAGCCAGAGAAGAUUUACACAACCGAAAUCCUCCGCAAGACCUGUGUCAGCAAACAUACACCAGGCUGCUUUGGGUUGCGUGAUGCUGCCUGCAGGUAGGGCUGUAGCAAGUCAAGCUGUGAUGGCAGUGGCUCCACGUGGGCUCGUCACACCAGCAUGGGUAUCCAGAGCAAGCAAGCUGUAACAGCAUGGAGCUUGGUGUGGGCUGAA
ensembl:lncRNA